UUUUAUUUUAUUUUUUUUUGUUUGUUUGUUUGCUUUUGUAUUUAUGUUUUUUUAAAAAAGGGUGG
rnacentral:ribozyme from 14 species